rnacentral:tRNA from 1 species
GCGGGGAUAGCUCAGUUGGGAGAGCGUCAGACUGAAGAUAGUUCGCGUGUUCGAUCCACGCUCACCGCA